rnacentral:lncRNA from 1 species
CCCCGGGCUGUAGCUGAACUUACAUCCCAUCCUGCUGGCCCCAGAGACCCCCGUUUCCUGCCUGCCGGACUCGUCCACCGUGGACGGCGUGGGACCCUGGCCGAGUUGGCCGAAGAUCGUGGAUGGACGUGCGGAGGACCCCCGCCCCACCCCUGGACUCACCACCGGACCGGACCCUUCUUCUCUACGUGCCUCUGGCCUCCAUCCAGGAUUGGGCCGAGACCCUCACCUGAAAUCCAGCGUGGGAAAGGACCCCAGCGCCCCGGACACAGCACCCCAGCACCUUCCAGCCCUGAAUCCCUCCACAGCCGCGGGGACGCCCUGCACACCUUCCCACGGGACAGGCCGCACCACGACUCUGGACCGGGGCCUCCCCUUGAGU